rnacentral:lncRNA from 1 species
ACUCACGAAGGGCCGUAUAACAAUUAAGCUAAAUGUGGAACUUUAAAACAACUGCUGAACACUAAUAAUUUAAAUACAAGUUCAAACAGACCCAUUGAAAUCACAACUGCUCUCAGGCUACUAAUGCUUACUGUACUAACUUAUUAAUGGGGGGAUAUGUCAGUAGUGAAAAGAAUUGCUGAAUAUUCUGUUGGUUGACAAAUGUUCAUUAAAACCUACUCAACUUUUUUUUUUUUCCUGAGACAAGAGUCUCACUCUGUCGCCCAGGCUGGAGUGCAGCAGUGCAAUGUCAGCUCUCUGCAACUCUGCCUCCUGGGUUCAAGUGAUUCUCCUGCCUUAGCCUCCCAAGUAGCUGGGACUACAGGCGCUAAACCAAUAUAUUCUAUUUAUAUUUCAUACCAACUGCUGGAAACUCUCUUUCCAGGGAUUUGGAUGUUCAUACUCUUCUGGAUUAAUCUGGUAGAAUUUUCCAGGUUCAGGAUGCAUCAUAGGGCGAGUAUAUUCAAAUACUUCCAUAUAUAAUCGUUUCCUGAACAGAGAAAGGAAUUAAAAUUUUCUUGAUAAAAUGUCCUUUAGAUUAAUACAGUUUUGAACAACUAUAACAAUUAUUUGAGGCCUCAAAAACUUGAGUAAGAAAGUAAGAAUAGACAAAAAUGAAUAUUAAAUCACAGGAUUUUUUUUUUUGAGACACAGUCUCACUGUCAUCCAGGCUAGAAUGCAAGUGGCAUGAUCUCGGCUCACUGCAACCUCCCUCUCCCAGGUUCAAGUGAUUCUUCAGCCUCAGCCUCCUGAGUAGCUGAGAUUAUGGGCAUGCGUCACCACGCACAGCUAAAAACAGGAUUUAAAACGUGAAAACGUAUUUUUCACAUUUAAAAUUUUCAGUGUAGUUGCAUAUGGAAAUUAUGUUUUUUUUUCUUUUUCUUCUUUGAGACAUAGUCUAUUUCU